rnacentral:rRNA from 1 species
GACGAACGCUGGCGGCGUGCUUAANACAUGCAAGUCGAACGCUGAAGACCUGGCUUUUGUUGGGUUGGAUGAGUGGCGAACGGGUGAGUAACACGUGAGUAACCUGCCCUCUUCUUUGGGAUAACGCCCGGAAACGGGUGCUAAUACUGGAUAUUCACUGGCCUUCGCAUGGGGGUUGGUGGAAAGGUUUGUUCUGGUGGGGGAUGGGCUCGCGGCCUAUCAGCUUGUUGGUGGGGUGAUGGCCUACCAAGGCUUUGACGGGUAGCCGGCCUGAGAGGGUGACCGGUCACAUUGGGACUGAGAUACGGCCCAGACUCCUACGGGAGGCAGCAGUGGGGAAUAUUGCACAAUGGGCGGAAGCCUGAUGCAGCGACGCCGCGUGAGGGAUGGAGGCCUUCGGGUUGUAAACCUCUUUCGCUCAUGGUCAAGCCGCAACUGUGGGUUGUGGUGAGGGUAGUGGGUAAAGAAGCGCCGGCUAACUACGUGCCAGCAGCCGCGGUAAUACGUAGGGCGCGAGCGUUGUCCGGAAUUAUUGGGCGUAAAGGGCUUGUAGGCGGUUGGUCGCGUCUGCCAUGAAAUCCUCUGGCUUAACUGGGGGCGUGCGGUGGGUACGGGCUGACUUGAGUGCGGUAGGGGAGACUGGAACUCCUGGUGUAGCGGUGGAAUGCGCAGAUAUCAGGAAGAACACCGGUGGCGAAGGCGGGUCUCUGGGCCGUUACUGACGCUGAGGAGCGAAAGCGUGGGGAGCGAACAGG